AUUGAACGCUGGCGGCGUGCCUAACACAUGCAAGUCGAACGGGGCAGCAAUGUCUAGUGGCGGACGGGUGAGGAACACGUAGGAAUCUGCCCUUAAGUGGGGGAUAACCAGGGGAAACCCUGACUAAUACCGCAUGAUCUCUUCGGAGCAAAGAGGGGGACCGCAAGGCCUCUCGCUUCUGGAUGAGCCUACGUCUGAGGGUUAGCUAGUUGGUAGGGUAAAGGCCUACCAAGGCGACGAUCAGUAACUGGUCUGAGAGGAGGAUCAGUCACACCGGAACUGAGACACGGUCCGGACUACUGCGGGAGGCAGCAGUGGGGAAUAUUGGACAAUGGGCGCAAGCCUGAUCCAGCAAUGCCGCGUGUGUGAAGAAGGCCUUCGGGUUGUAAAGCACUUUAGCCUGGAAAGAAAAAACUUUGGUUAACACCCAAAGUCUUGACGGUACCAGGAGAAUAAGCACCGGCUAACUCUGUGCCAGCAGCCGCGGUAAUAC
rnacentral:rRNA from 1 species